CACAGCCGCGCUUCCGUAGUUUUACGACGUUAUAACCAAGGAGAAAGUGAAAGGGUCAAACGGUCAUACUAUACACAGUAGUAGAAAUCUGGGAAUGGAUUACUCCGAGGGAUUGAGUGUACCAACUGUAGAGCUAGUUAAUGGGUUGAAAAUCCCAUUACUGGGUCUUGGCACAUCACAUCAGGGAGGUUAUUCCCACUCUUCAGUUGUGUAUGCCCUAAAAGAAUGUGGCAUUCGUCAUAUUGACACUGCAAAAAGAUAUGGCUGUGAAUCGUAUCUGAAGAAGGCAAUCGAAGAGAGUGGUGUAAAUCAUGAGAACCUCUGGAUAACAACAAAGCUUUGGCCAGGGGAUUAUGGCUAUGGUGCAACCAAAGCAGCAUGUUUGGAGUCCUGCAAAAACCUCGGCGUGGAUUAUAUUGAUCUUUACCUUAUGCAUUGGCCUGAUGGAAAUGUCCUGGGAAAAACUAAUCGUGAACUUCGAGCGGAAACAUGGCAAGCAAUUGAAGAAUUGUAUGAUGAAGGGAUAUGUCGAUCCAUAGGAGUGAGCAAUUUCCUCAUUUCUCAUUUAGAACAGCUGAAGGAAGACUGUGACAUCAUCCCACAUGUCAAUCAGGUUGAAUAUCAUCCUUUCUACAAGCCCCAGGAGCUGGUGGACUACUGCAGAAGCCAAGGAAUCGUUUUUGAAGGAUACUGCCCUCUGGCUAAAGGCUUGGCUUUGUCACACCCUACUAUCAUUGAAAAAGCAGAGAAAUAUCACUGUACACCUGCUCAAAUCUGUAUACGUUGGAGCAUACAAAAUGGAAUUGUGACCAUUCCAAAAUCCACAAAGAAGGAAAGGAUUUGGGAAAACUGCCAGGUAUUCCAUUUUUCCCUUGCGGAGGAUGAUGUUACAGAUCUAAAUGGAAUGCAUGAUGGCCGACGUGUGUCCUGGAAUCCUACAAAUAUCGAAUAAUUGACAUUUCCACCCUGGACUGGGCUCAUAAGUAGCAAACAACAUUCUCACUACUCAGGAGCUCGGCAGAGGCCAUUACUCAUUAGCAUCACUAGCUUUGCUGCUACCAACGUCUUCAGUAUCAUCAUUGACCAGAACUCAAAUGCAGGUACUGUUUCAUUGACAGCUUUUCAGAAGUUAGAUACCUUGCAAUAAGUGACUCAUCUUCAGCUGCUAACAUCUUUCCAUAACCUGCAUGGUGCAAUUUAACUGUGUGAUAGGAUACUCCCUCUUGCUUGGAUGAGUGGAAUUCAAGCAACAGUUAAAUUCGACAUGUUCCACUUACUUCUCACCCCAUCUACCAAUUUAGUUAUUCUAUUCACUCUUUUGGCCAUUGUUAGACUAUAGCUGCAGUAUAUACCAUUUCUAAAGUGCACUGUAAUUACUCAACCUGUAUACUUAUUCAGCACUUCCCAAGCCAGCACUCUCUACCACACAGAAAAGUACUGGAGGAACUCAGCAGACCUGGCAGUCUGUAUGAAGGGAAACAGAUAGUCAGUGUUUCAGCUUCAGACCCUUCAUCUGGAUUUCCUGUGAAAUGUUGGUUGUCCAUUUAUCUCCUUAAAUGCUGCAUGACCUGUUGAUUUCCUCCAGCACCUAUGUUGUGGCAAUCUCUACCAUCAAUAUAAGGAACAGAUUCCUGGGAACACCAGUACCCAAACAGGCAGCAAACCAAGAAUAUAUUACCUUGUUGGGUCUAAAUCCCUGAUAUCCACAAAAGCAUUGUGGGUCUAUUUUCCAUGAACAGGACAACAGCACUUUGUUAUCACCGUUAUCUUUUUGAGGACAAUUAGGGAUGGACUGUGAAAGCCAAAAAAAAAUUUUAUGUUAUAACUGCGCCAUAAAAUAGUUAACAUCGAUACUACAUGAAAAGCAAAAUGUUUUGAAGUCUGAUGUUUCAGGGGUUUUACAAACUCAUUGAAAUUUUGUUUUUGGGAUUACAAUGUCAAAUUUUGGUCUAUUAAAUCAGUUUUUCAUUUGACCUUCAAAGUAGCUAAUUCUGCUGGUUAACUAAACAAAUAGCAGGGGAAAGAAGGAGUUUGCAGCUGAGUGAGACUGAAAGUAAAUAUCUUUCAGUUUAACCGUCUGUGCUAGCAACAUCCUGGUCUAUUUAGAAGUAUCAGUCGUUGCAGAUUUUGCUUUCUAAUCUCAGUAAAGUUACAGAUAUAAAGAUGUAUAUAUAUUCUCUUGUUAUUCUUAAAUAAAACCCUUUAGAAGAAUGUUAUGGAUGUCUCAGAGAUUGUUAUAUCACUUUAGAUUUUAAGAAACGAAGAAACUAAUAUAUGACUAAGCCACAUAAUAUACCUUUGUUGUAUAAUGGUCAAAUUAAGAAUAUGUGAACCACACCCAUGAAGAAUCAAUGUUUUUUUCAGUUAUGUCUAGUCUCGAUUUAUUCCAUAUUUGAGAGUUAGUACAAAACAUGCACUCACUCUGACAGUUUAACAUCCUGCCUUUAUCAUGACAAAGACAAUAUAUAAAAAAGCCACAUCUAAACUGUUACAAAAGAAACCCAAAUUUCACACAUUUCUAUAACACAAUUAAUAAACAAUGGCAGAGUCAGACAACUCUCCCAGCAUACAGUAUUACAAUAAUACAGAGAGAAUAAUAGAAGAAAGGAGCUUUACUUUAUAGCAGUAAAUUGUCACCAACAAUGCUCUGACCUAGAAUACCAGGGUGUGACUCCACAUUCAGACAUGCUUUCACAGGAAUUGCUGACCAGAAAUGUGAUACAGUUUCAUAUUGAGCGUCACAUGGUAUACUGAGGGUCAGCAGCAGACUAGCUGCAAUAACUCAAAAUAUCUCUGCCAUUCGACAAGAUUGUGGCUGGUUUACCACCUCAAAAUUUCUCUGCCCUCUCUCCCCCUCUCCUCAGUCCUCUACUGUCCAGGUCUAUCAAUUUCAGAUUGAAUGCAGAUUGAGCCUACCCUCUGGGAUAGAGAAUUCUAACGAUUCACCACUUCAUUCAGUCCGAGGUGCCAUACAUCAUACACCUUAUUGUGCGAAGCUGAGCCUUAGUCCUAGACUCCUCAGCCAGGAAAAGCAACACCUCCCUCCACCUUGCCCCCCAGAUUUACCCUUUCAAGCCUCCCAUGGAGGUUAUGUUGUUCUAAUAAUUAAAUGGAAGCCCUGCUUGUUCAAAUCUCUCCUCAUUUCCUCACUGGUGUUACAAUUUAGGAGGGUAUGUCCUGGGCCCAGCAUGUAAAUGCAAUUACAAAGGAAGCAUGGCAGUGCCUCAACCUCCUUAGAAGGUUGCGGAGAUUCAUCAUGACAUCUGAAACUUUGACAAACUUCUACUGAUGUGUGGUGGUGAGUAUACUGGUGUUUGAUUUUUCACUCAGUGAAGAAGAUAUGACAUCCCUAAACUCACUUGAGGAUAACAAAAAGCUGGUUACACUGAAAUUUCCUUUAUGGAAGGAACAUUAAUUUCAUUCAGAACUGAUGACUGCCAAGGUGGAUCCCUCCAGUGAACGUAUUCAAGGAAUGAUCAUAUGACACUAAUUUUGACUAUAGCCACAGUAUUCACACCGUGAAGAUUCCUAGUAUAUUUGUGUCACUUGAUUGGUUAACCUCUUUGGAUGGAGUGCUACUCCAGGAAAACCUAAAGUCAGGUACCUUACUCAAACAGAAGGUGAUUUCUAUUGUUGAACUUAAUACGUACACUAAUCCAUAUUUAUAACACUGGGAAUUGAAGCCUAUUCUAUUUCAGGCAUUCAAUGAUAUAUUCAUUCAUUUCAUUACUUAUUAACUCUAUAAGACAAUUGGUCCCAUAAUCAGAUGCAAUCAGAAGACACUGAAUGCAAUUUUCCCAAUAUGUGGGAAAAUACUGUUACAAAAUCAAAGAUGAAAUAAGAAAUACGGAUUCUUUUAAACUUUUAGCCUCAGAUUUUUGAGAGUUGAGUUUAAAAAGGUCUGGAUUUUAUUUGUUAUCUUACUGUACUGUUACUCCUUAUUUAACUGUUUCUUUGAAUGAUUAGUAUGCCAGAGACUGAACUAUGCACAGAAUGCUUAAAGUCAUUUAAUUUUUUUCUCAAAAAGAGAUUUGCCUUUCAAAAAAAACUGUGCUUGCAACUAAAAUAGAAUCCUGAAUUAAUUACUUGAAUUAUUAGUGUUUAUAUUUAAUUAAAAUGUUUAUUUUUUAAAAUAUCACAAUCAUAUCUGUUCUUUAAAGGAAAACCAACCAACUAACGUGUCAUUAAGAAGUUAAUGAUGGAAAAAAUAGUAAUUGGAGUAAUUGCUGCUGCAGUUGAAAAUUCAUCAGAAAUCUUCACUAGUGCCUUCACAUAAAAGUUAUGUCACUGUAUAAAGAUGAAAACUGACUACUAAUUUGGAAUGUGGAUGUUUUGCACUAAGCUUGAAUUGUACCAAUUCAGUUGCAAAUAGCCGAUUCAAAAAUAGACGGUCCAGUUCAACACCACAGUUUAUGCCAAGCAACAUCUGGAGUGACAAACUGGCAGCUCCUUCUUUAGCAGAAUAAGCAUGUACUGUUCCUGAUGAUGAUGAAUUGUGAGGACAAUCUCUACAUAAUCCUUAUGCUGGAAUUCUGCUUUCAACUGGAGCAUCUGAGGGACAAUAACAGAACAAACACUAGCACACAGCAAAAGAACUGCAAAAGAACAAAAGAUGGCCAGUUGUAAAUUGGUUAACAUUCUCCAGCAUGUGGUCCAGAAAUUGGAACUCUACUGAUCACUAGUCAAUCAAGUGUUGCUUCCCAAUUGUUCAAACUCUGCAAAUCUAUAAAUCAUGAGACUCUGCAAAUGUUGUACAACUUGUGAAAAGGAGCAAAAGCAAACUACCUCUUUUCAGCAGGUUCAUGAGCAUAGAAAUAAAAUAAUGAAUUCAUGGUUAUCAGGUGGACAUUCAGAGUUUCUUUAUCAUCUAUAAAUGAAUGGAAUGCAUUUUCAUUGGUGAUAAAUAGAAAUGUAUUAGAAAGUAAAGAGGCAUUGAGUUUAUAACAUUCAUUUUCAAAGCCUGAAACUGAAGAAAUCUGCAACUAGCGGUUUGAAAUGUCUGCCAGGUGUAAUGGUCUGUACUCAGUUAAAGCCAUAGUUCACACACACUCUUUUGUAUCUCAGAUUUAGGUAUGAUAAUUAUAGUUAUGGGUACUGAACAGUGUACUUAUAGUGCUGGAAUCCAGUAUUCUGUGUAGUGAAUGAAAAUUUGCUGAUGUGAUACCAAUCUUAUUCCGUAGUUCAGUUAUGACAUGAUGUUGGAUGUAGCAUUAAGAGCUUUACUCUGCUUCUAACGUCUACUGUACUUCACCUGAUGGUGAUUCAUAUUCCGUAAGACUGGCAUUGUUUUGUAUCAAACCAAUACUUUAACUGACAUGCAAAUGUUCAAAAGGGCAGAAAUAAACAUUUCUAUA